rnacentral:rRNA from 1 species
CACGAACCGGACAAACGUUAUUCGGAAUUAUUGGGCUUAAAGGGUGCGUAGGCGGUGCUGUAAGUCGGGUGUGAAAGCCCACGGCUCAACCGUGGAACUGCGCCCGAUACUGCAGUGCUAGAGGGAGACAGAGGUAAGCGGAACUGAUGGUGGAGCGGUGAAAUGCGUUGAUAUCAUCAGGAACACCAGUGGCGAAAGCGGCUUACUGGGUCUCUUCUGACGCUGAGGCACGAAAGCUAGGGUAGCGAACGGG